AUGAGAGAAGAUCCGUGUUCCU
rnacentral:miRNA from 1 species